rnacentral:rRNA from 1 species
UACGGAGGGUGCGAGCGUUGUCCGGAAUCAUUGGGCGUAAAGGGCGCGUAGGUGGCGACCCAAGUCGAUGGUGAAAGCUCGCCGCUCAACGGCGAGUCGGCCACUGAUACUGGGUUGCUGGAGCACUGUAGAGGCAGAUGGAAUUCCGGGUGUAGCGGUGGAAUGCGUAGAGAUCCGGAAGAACACCGGUGGCGAAGGCGGUCUGCUGGGCAGUUGCUGACACUGAGGCGCGACAGCGUGGGGAGCAAACAGG